rnacentral:rRNA from 1 species
CACUAUGCCUAGCCAUAAACAUUGAUAGUAACCUACACCCACUAUCCGCCCGGGAACUACGAGCAUCAGCUUAAAACCCAAAGGACUUGGCGGUGCUUUAGAUCCACCUAGAGGAGCCUGUUCUAGAACCGAUUACCCCCGUUCAACCUCACCUUUCCUUGUCCCUCCCGCCUAUAUACCACCGUCGUCAGCUUACCCUGUGAAGGACUUAUAGUAAGCAAGAUUGGCACAGCCCAAAACGUCAGGUCGAGGUGUAGCGUAUGGAAAGGGAAGAAAUGGGCUACAUUCCCUAACACAGGGAACUACGAAUGAUACGCUGAAACACGUAUCUGAAGGAGGAUUUAGCAGUAAGCAGAAAAAAGAGCGUUCCGCUGAAACCGGCCCUGAAGCGCGCACACACCGCCCGUCACUCUCCCCGAGCUCAUAACCUUAAAUACUUUAAAGCCUUAAUACUGCAAAGGGGAGGCAAGUCGUAA